rnacentral:tRNA from 2 species
GGAGGAGUGUCUGAGCGGCCGAAGGAGCACGAUUGGAAGUCGUGUAUACGUUAACGCGUAUCGUGGGUUCGAAUCCCACCUCCUCCG